GACGAACGCUGGCGGCGUGCCCAAUACAUGCAAGUCGAACGGUCUUUUCUAUGGAAGCUUGCUUCCACUGGGAAGAUAGUGGCGAACGGGUGAGUAACACGUGGGUAACCUGCCCAUAAGAGGGGGAUAACAUCCGGAAACGGGUGCUAAUACCGCAUAGUUUUCUUGAUCGCAUGAUCGAGAAAGGAAAGACGGCCUUUGUGCUGUCGCUUAUGGAUGGACCCGCGGCGUAUUAGUUAGUUGGUGAGGUAACGGCUCACCAAGACGGUGAUACGUAGCCGACCUGAGAGGGUGAUCGGCCACAUUGGGACUGAGACACGGCCCAAACUCCUACGGGAGGCAGCAGUAGGGAAUCUUCCGCAAUGGACGAAAGUCUGACGGAGCAACGCCGCGUGAGUGAAGAAGGUUUUCGGAUCGUAAAACUCUGUUGUCAGAGAAGAACAAGUCGGAGAGUAACUGCUCCGGCCUUGACGGUAUCUGACCAGAAAGCCACGGUUAACUACGUGCCAGCAGCCGCGGUAAUAC
rnacentral:rRNA from 1 species